CACGGAGUUAGCCGGGGCUUCUUCCUCGAGUCCUGUCAUGAUCGCGCACUCGACGAAAGAGCUUUACAAGCGGCAUUGCCCUUCUUCACUCACGCGAUAUUGCUGGAUCGGGCUUUCGCCCAUUGUCCAAGAUUCCCCACUGCUGCCUCCCGUAGGAGUUUGGGCCGUGUCUCAGUCCCAAUGUGGCCGGUCACCCUCUCAGGUCGGCUACCGAUCGUCGCCUUGGUGGGCCGUUACCCCACCAACCAGCUGAUCGGACGCGGGUCCAUCCUAUACCACCGGAGUUUUCCGCACUGUCCCAUGCGGGACUGUGCGCUCAUGCGGUAUUAGCAGCCAUUUCUAGCUGUUAUCCCCCAGUAUAGGGCAGGUUACCCACGCGUUACUCACCCGUCCGCCACUAAGUCAUCGCCCCCUCGCCCGAAGGCCUCGAGGACGUGCUUCGUUCGACUUGCAUGUGUUAGCACGCCGCCAGCGUUCAUCCUGACGCCAGGAUCAAACU
rnacentral:rRNA from 1 species